rnacentral:rRNA from 1 species
GAUGAACGCUGGCGGCGUGCUUAACACAUGCAAGUCGAACGGAAAGGCCCAAGCUUGCUUGGGUACUCGAGUGGCGAACGGGUCAGUAACACGUGGGUGAUCUGCCCUGCACUUCGGGAUAAGCCUGGGAAACUGGGUCUAAUACCGGAUAGGACCACUUCUUGGAUGUUGUGGUGGAAAGUUUUUUCGGUGUGGGAUGAGCUCGCGGCCUAUCAGCUUGUUGGUGGGGUAAUGGCCUACCAAGGCGUCGACGGGUAGCCGGCCUGAGAGGGUGUACGGCCACAUUGGGACUGAGAUACGGCCCAGACUCCUACGGGAGGCAGCAGUGGGGAAUAUUGCACAAUGGGCGCAAGCCUGAUGCAGCGACGCCGCGUGGGGGAUGACGGCCUUCGGGUUGUAAACUCCUUUCGCUAGGGACGAAGCGUUUUGUGACGGUACCUGGAGAAGAAGCACCGGCUAACUACGUG